CUGCCCUACUUGAUUGAUGGGACUCACAAGAUCACCCAGAGCAACGCCAUCCUGCGGUACAUUGCCCGCAAGCACAACCUGUGUGAGUAGAUUUGGUUGCAAGAUGCGGGGAGGGACCGUGGCCUCCUCCUCGGCUUGGCUGGGCUGGGCUGUGAGGCUGAGAGAGAAUCUGCUUUACGAGGGUAGGCGGGG
rnacentral:sRNA from 1 species